UAGCCUGUAUGGUCUAUGACAAAUGCCCUCAGAGUAAAACGCAGCCAGCAGAGGAAUGUCAGAUGACUAUCUCGUCGCCUCGCCGGCAGACGAAAUACCAACACCAGCUUCAAAACCUCGGAGUCGGGAGGAGGGAAGACACGAAAGCUCGUCGUCGUUGUUGUGUCUUGUCGGGACAGCUUUGGGAGGCCUCGUUGUUAAAGCAAACCCAACACUUUGGGGUUUCUCAAAAGGUUUGAAAAAGUCUGAAUUAGAGGAACUAAAAGAUGAGUAGGUUGAUAUCUGGCGCAUGUAACGUGUUCCUGUUGAGUCAUAACAACAAUAACUCGACUUCCACAACACCUUUAAGAGCAGAGUUUACAAAGGAAAAACAGGUUGCUCAGGAAGACAACAGAAAGCCGAGCAGUCAGGCCAAACAGAUGCUGAGAUGCACCAACAGCUAACCAGCUAACAUGAGAGGCUAACAGAGCUUUAACUCAGUGACGAAUCAGAAAGCAAAGGAAACUCAGCAGUUUGAAACUCAAGUGGUCCUGUGAUUCAACACUCACGACAUACUUGUACUCCAUAUUUCAGAGUCUUCUGCUGUUGCCGUCACACAUGCUCACUCGUGACUUCCUGCUGCCAGCACAUUCACGCUGCUGUUAUCUGCUCCCUCCACAUCCCCUUUCAUCACUUCUUCAGCCUCCAUCACCAUCAGUGUCUGGACUCUCGGAGGGGAUUUUUCUGACUGACGCUCAGGGCAAACGUCUCUCAAUCACAGAAUCUCCCUGUUGAGUCCAGCGACUUUCUAACAACCACUAAAUAUCACGUCAACAAUUACCUUUAUUCCAUCUGCUUGUCUGAAAUCUGAAAUCAGAUAUUUUCUGCCAAACCGCUGAUCCAAGUGAAUGAUGUUCUUUUUGAGGUUUUACCGUUAAU